rnacentral:rRNA from 1 species
UACAGAGACUGCAAGCGUUAUUCGGAUUCACUGGGCGUAAAGGGUGCGCAGGCGGUCGGGUGGUUCAGUGGUGAAAUCCCGAGGCUCAACCUCGGAACUGCGUCUGAAACUACUCGACUAGAGUACUGGAGAGGGUAACGGAAUUCACGGUGUAGCAGUGAAAUGCGUAGAUAUCGUGAGGAACACCAGAGGCGAAGGCGGUUACCUGGACAGUUACUGACGCUCAGGCACGAAAGCAUGGGGAGCAAAAGGG